rnacentral:snoRNA from 1 species
GCCCCCUUGGCUCACUCCGAGAUACAUCGUCACUGCGCAGUGGUGUAUUUCUAUUUUUGCUCAAGGAAGAAUGACUCUGGCCACUUACUCACCUCUAUACCCUGCUCUCUGUGGGUAUAUUGGUCCUUCCAAUCACGCCAACAU